UACGAAGGGGGGCUAGCGUUGUUCGGAAUUACUGGGCGUAAAGGGCUCGUAGGUGGCCAACUAAGUCAGACGUGAAAUCCCUCGGCUUAACCGGGGAACUGCGUCUGAUACUGGAUGGCUAGAGAUUGGGAGAGGGAUGCGGAAUUCCAGGGUGUAGCGGUGGAAAAUGCGUAGAUAUCUGGAGGAACACCGGUGGCGAAGGCGGCAUCCUGGACCAACACUGACGCUGAGGAGCGAAAGCCAGGGGAGCAAACGGG
rnacentral:rRNA from 1 species